CUCCAUCACCUGUGAAAAUAAGAACAAACCCUUGCUCCCAGGAAAAGAAGUUCCUACUACCCAGGCCUGGGUUUGGUUCCUGAGAUGGUCCUGGUGCCUGAAAAUCCAAGUUCUCCAAGCUUCAGGCAGCUGUGAUGUGUGCAUUCAUUGAAUCAGAACCUAAUCCUCUUCGUAUUGUCCUGACAAGCAACAAGCAACAGGCAACAGGCAUUUGUUAAGUGCUGUUCCAAGCACUGUGUUCGGCACUUAGUAAUAAAA